GACGUAGGGCGCGAGCGUUGUCCGGAUUUAUUGGGCGUAAAGGGCUCGUAGGCGGCUUGUCGCGUCGAAUGUGAAAACCCACGGCUCAACUGCAGGCUUGCAUUCGAUACGGGCAGGCUCGAGUUCGGUAGGGGAGACUGGAAUUCCUGGUGUAGCGGUGAAAUGCGCAGAUAUCAGGAAGAACACCCGUGGCGAAGGCGGCUCUCUGGGACGGUACUGACGCUGAGACGCGAAAGCGUGGGGAGCGAACAGG
rnacentral:rRNA from 1 species